UUUUGCCCAGACAGGAAACAGCCACCUCCCCAAACCAGUUGACAAGAAAGUAAAUUUAACAGAAGAAAUGCAGACCAGCUUGGAGACAACAAGGAAGUUUUCCACAGGGAGUGACCAACAGCUUCAGAUAACCCAGACUGGCUCUGCAACCAGCUCGAGCUGCUCCUGCACUGUCAGGCUGACAUGCAGUUGAAUAACAGAUGAAUGGACUGAAGCGCAGAAAAUGGAUUAAUGUGUGGGGUCAAACAGGACCUGCCCAUCACUUCAGGAAUCAACAGGUUCAUGGCAGGCUGAAGUCUAUCCUUGCUGCCACAGGGGUGAAAGGCAGUGUACACUCCAUACACAGACCAGCAACCACUGGCAUUCGCAUUCAUAACUAUGACAACAGUUUAAAGACACUGUCUUUGCUGUCUGUGGGGAGACAGUAAACACCUCCCAUGCAGACUUCCUGAGCCUUGAAAGGAUCCUGCCGUGUGCUGUGAUGAGAAUCACAUCAAUUUUCCCCAAUACCACAGGCAACACAGCUCCAAACCAUGACUUUGAGACUCCAAGUUUCACCAACGACUGUAGACCCUCACUGUUGUACCUCUCUCCUUAUCUCCUACAUAAACACUGAUGACCAAACAUUUUAAAUUUGGAUUAAUUACUGAAAAUCAGUCCCGUUCUUAUGUAAUCUGGCAUACCUCAGCCUGUUCUCCCAGUUUCCCUUCCUGAAGAGUGGCUUUUUGACAGCCACUCUUCCACUGAGACAUUUCUGAAGAAGCUUCAGUGAACAGCAGAUGGAUAAACUGGAGAUGGAUCUGUCAGGAAUUUGCUUUUAUUUCAUCUUGUUACUUUAGGACAUGAUUCUCAGGUAAUGUUCAUCUGUUGUGGGGAGUUUUUAGAGCCACAAUUUCUUCCUUUUUCUUUCACUUGUCUGGUUUCCUCUUUUUUUUUUUUUUUUUUAGGGGAUACACUGCACAUCAUUCAGAGAGAUGACACAUUUUCAGCUAAUAGCUGGGAAUCACCUUGUUUGUGCAAAUAUAUUAUUUUAUGCCUGUCAAAUUGUGUUAUCUUUGGCAUUUGUUGCAGGUUCAGCCAAAGAACUGGGAAUAUAUUGGAUGUUUUGGUGGCAGGCUGCUAGUAGCAGCGCCUAAAGACAUAAUUAAAAUUGUUUCGUUUUUUUUCUAAGUUGUAUGUUAACAGUGUCUUAUUAUGUGUGGACACAACACUGGGUCAUCUCUUGUGUUAAGUGGCUCUUACGUUU